rnacentral:rRNA from 1 species
AUUGAACGCUGGCGGAAUGCUUUACACAUGCAAGUCGAGCGGCAGCACGGGGGCAACCCUGGUGGCGAGCGGCGAACGGGUGAGUAAUACAUCGGAACAUGCCCAGUCGUGGGGGAUAACACUUCGAAAGAAGUGCUAAUACCGCAUACGUCCUGAGGGGGAAAGCGGGGGAUCGCAAGACCUCGCGCGAUUGGAGUGGCCGAUGUCAGAUUAGCUAGUUGGUGGGGUAAAGGCCUACCAAGGCAACGAUCUGUAGCUGGUCUGAGAGGAUGAUCAGCCACACUGGGACUGAGACACGGCCCAGACUCCUGCGGGAGGCAGCAGUGGGGAAUUUUGGACAAUGGGGGCAACCCUGAUCCAGCCAUUCCGCGUGAGUGAAGAAGGCCUUCGGGUUGUAAAGCUCUUUCGGCAGGAACGAAACGGUGAGCUCUAACAUAGCUUGCUAAUGACGGUACCUGAAGAAGAAGCACCGGCUAACUACGUG